AUAAAAGAGCGUUUAUGAAGGAAUAUAGGUCGGCAUGGUCAAUCUGGACAGGAUUUUGGGUCAGCCAAAAAAAAAAGGAUGAAUUGAAAUCCCGCACGAUCCUCCAUUCAAAACUCGCGCCCUCUAGAUCAUCAAGCAAGAAGCAACAGUGUUCAAUGUGAUAGUGGUGAGCGGUGUAGCGUGGAUGUGAGCGUCCAUCAAUCUUUCGCAGCUACGCCUUUCCGUGAGGCGGCUGGAGCAGGAAAUCGCCGAGCCGUGCUGCAGAGAGGAAAGGAUGGCAGGUGGUGCCGCGGUGAACACUCCCAACACAUGCAGGAGGAAAAGCCAAGAAGAAAUAUAAUACAGACAAGAGACAAUGCAUGAAGACAGAUGAGGGAUCUCCAAACAAGAAGAUGGAUAAUGUGAACACAGCUACUGUGUUCACCAUCAUUUCUCAAGAGUUAGACUCUUCAGUAUUCUGGGAACUGACAGACCAGGAAGCUAUGUUCCAAGUACUGUGGUUCUGCAUGUCCCUCCCACAAUCAGGCCACAAACUCGCAACACCAGUUUGUGAUCACCAUCUCUCAAGCAUCUGUCACAUCCUCUGCCUCUUGAUCAGCUGAGACACCAUCUGGAUCACAAUCAAUUGAGAUACCUUUUGCCUCUGGCAUUAACAGGCACCAAAAUUUUAAAUCCCUGGCCUUGAGAUGUCCUAUCUAAAGGAUAUUUUGCUUGUCAUUUCAGAGCAAGUGCUAUGAAGACACAAUGGAGUUGGAUGAACAUGAACAUGAGAUGGAUUUAGGAAAUUUAAAAUGAACAAGAACACCUACUAAUUGAAAAGAUACAGGAUGCGAAAGUAGAAUUGCUGUGUUUUAACUGGAAAAAUCCAGAUAGAACUAGAUUUUCUGCAUCCACACUAUUGAUUCAGGAUUUUCAGUUUACACUUAGGCUUCAAAGAAUGCAGAUCCCAAACAGAACAAAUGGUUAUGAGUUGCCUGAGGAGUGCAGAAGGAAGGUGAUAGUUUACUCCAUCUGAACUGGGAUGACCAACAAUGUCAUCAUAGUUGAAGUUGCCACUGAGGACAGUCCAGAGAAUUAGGAAGCUGUUAGUAGAUCCUGACCUUGAUGUGGAGGUCAUGACUACCAGAGACAUGCAAUUGAGGAGUGAAGAGUGGCAAUUUAAUUUUGUAUGUGCAGCAACUCAAUGACACUGAUCUCUCCAUCUCAAUCCUUGAAAUU